rnacentral:rRNA from 1 species
CCUACGGGGCGCAGCAGUGGGGAAUAUUGGACAAUGGGCGAAAGCCUGAUCCAGCCAUGCCGCGUGUGUGAAGAAGGCCUUCGGGUUGUAAAGCACUUUCAGUGGGGAAGAAAGCCUUGGGGCUAAUACCCUCGAGGAAGGACAUCACCCACAGAAGAAGCACCGGCUAACUCCGUGCCAGCAGCCGCGGUAAUACGGAGGGUGCGAGCGUUAAUCGGAAUUACUGGGCGUAAAGCGCGCGUAGGCGGUCUGAUAAGCCGGUUGGGAAAGCCCCGGGCUCAACCUGGGAACGGCAUCCGGAACUGUCAGGCUAGAGUGCAUGAGAGGAAGGUAGAAUUCCCGGUGUAGCAGUGAAAUGCGUAGAGAUCGGGAGGAAUACCAGUGGCGAAGGCGGCCUUCUGGACUGACACUGACGCUGAGGUGCGAAAGCGUGGGUAGCAAACAGGAUUAGAUACCCGAGUAGUC